GUAGAUGCUAGCUAACCUCUGCCCUUUUUAAGAAUAAACCUUUUUUUUAAACUUAAGAACUAAAGCUGAGAUUCUCCUAUUCUGUUGUUGAGGGGCUUCCUGCAUGCCCGCCCAUUUUAUCACAGCAAUUUGAGAAGUUUUCUUUUUGGUUUCUGACAACAAGCAUUUGGGGAGAAAGCCAGGCAUAAAUUAGUUACGAUAGUUGGUGUUUAAUGUUUCUCCAGUGAAAAUUUGGACUUUUCUUUUUCCCUUAUAGAAUGCAUAAUUAAAACAGACUAUUAUUUUGAAAUGAAAUAUUGAAUAUUAAAAAAAAUAAAAUAGAGACUCUUAAUACAGGAGCCACAAACUCACAUACCUAGAGAAACCAAACAGGUAAAAGCAAGUGGUGAAGCCACAUGGAUUAAUGAGAUGAUAGAAAGUACAAAAUCACUAUGUAAGUCAGAUUAAAAAGCCAGCUUGCACUCUCUGCUUUCAUCUUUUUGAAGCAAUAACUAUUACAUAAAUCAGUGAAUACAGUAUUUCUACAGUAUUUGAAACGGUGUUCACACCCAGCAAUUCCACUUCUAGACAUAUAUCCAAGAGAAUGGAAAACAUGUGCACACAGGCACUUGUACAUGAAUAUUUAUGGAAGCAUUAUUCACAAUAGCCAAAAAGUGGAAACAGUCCAAAUGGCCAUCAAGAUGAAUGAAUAAAUAAAAUGUAGUGUGUGCAUGCAGUGGAAUAUUAUUUGCCCAUAAAAAGAAAUGAAGCACUGAUGCAGGCUGCAACAUGGAUGAACUUGAAAGCUUUAUGCUACGUGAAAGAAGCCAGUCAUAAAAGGUCACCUACUGUUAUUCCUUUCAUAGGAAAUAUCCAGAUAGGCAAGUCCAUAGAGACAGAGAGGAGAGGAGUGGUUGCCAGGGGCUGGGCAAGGAGAAUGAGAGUGACCGCUAAUGGGUGUGGCAUUUCUUUGUGAGGUAAUGAAAAUGUUCUGUAUUAGAUAGUGGUGAUCAUUGCACAACUCUGUGAAUGUACUAAAAAUCAUUGAAUUGUACACUUUGAAAGAAUUAUAUAGUAUGUAAUUAUAUCUCAGUUUAAAAAAAAAAACAGGAUAACAGUAACCAAAAUCUUCUAUGUAAGCUUAAAAUUUUCUCUGUUAAUUAUGCCAAAUAAAACUGAAUUCACAGCA
rnacentral:lncRNA from 10 species